UACCAGCUCUCCGAGUGGUGUGGAUGUUUAUUGGGCCUAAAGCAUCCGUAGCUGGCUGGGCAAGUCCCCUGUUAAAUCCACCGAUUUAAUCGUUGGUGUGCGGGGGAUACUGUUCGGCUAGGGGACGGGAGAGGCCGACGGUAUUUUCGGGGUAGGGGUGAAAUCCUAUAAUCCCGGGAAGACCACCAGUGGCGAAGGCUGUCGGCUAGAACGCGCCCGACGGUGAGGGAUGAAAGCUGGGGGAGCGAACCGGAUUAGAUACCCGGGUAGUCCCAGCUGUAAACGAUGCAGGCUAGGUGUUUGGGCGGCCACGUGCCGCUCUAGUGCCGCAGAGAAGUCGUUAAGCCUGCCGCCUGGGGAGUACGGCCGCAAGGCUGAAACUUAAAGGAAUUGGCGGGGAGCACCACGAGGGUGAAGCUUGCGGUUU
rnacentral:rRNA from 1 species